UUGAACGCUGGCGGAAUGCUUUACACAUGCAAGUCGAGCGGCAGCGCGGGGGCAACCCUGGCGGCGAGCGGCGAACGGGUGAGUAAUACAUCGGAACGUACCCAGUUGUGGGGGAUAGCCCGGCGAAAGCCGGAUUAAUACCGCAUAAGUCCUGAGGGAGAAAGCGGGGGACCGCAAGGCCUCGCGCGAUUGGAGCGGCCGAUGUCCGAUUAGCUUGUUGGUGAGGUAAAGGCUUACCAAGGCGAUGAUCGGUAGCUGGUCUGAGAGGAUGAUCAGCCACACUGGGACUGAGACACGGCCCAGACUCCUACGGGAGGCAGCAGUGGGGAAUUUUGGACAAUGGGGGCAACCCUGAUCCAGCCAUUCCGCGUGAGUGAAGAAGGCCUUCGGGUUGUAAAGCUCUUUUGUCCGGAGCGAAACGGUUACGGUGAAUAUCCGUGACUACUGACGGUACCGGAAGAAUAAGCACCGGCUAACUACGU
rnacentral:rRNA from 1 species